CGUAGGGGGCAAGCGUUGUCCGGAUUUACUGGGCGUAAAGAGCGUGUAGGCGGCCGCACAGGUCCGUUGUGAAAACUGGAGGCUUAACCUCCAGACGUCGACGGAAACCGUGCGGCUAGAGUCCGGAAGAGGAGAGUGGAAUUCCUGGUGUAGCGGUGAAAUGCGCAGAUAUCAGGAAGAACACCAAUGGCGAAGGCAGCUCUCUGGGACGGUACUGACGCUGAGACGCGAAAGCGUGGGGAGCGAACAGGAUUAGAUACCCUGGUAGUCCACGCCGUAAACGAUGGGUGCUAGGUGUGGGAGGUGUCGCCUCCUUCCGUGCCGUAGCUAACGCAUUAAGCACCCCGCCUGGGGAGUACGGCCGCAAGGCUA
rnacentral:rRNA from 1 species